GGGAGUGCAGGAUCCUGGGCUGUAUCCCCCGGCGCCCUGGGCUCCGGGGCCUGCGCGCUGGAAUCACGCUCCCAGGGCCAAGGCUCCC
rnacentral:pre_miRNA from 1 species